rnacentral:rRNA from 1 species
UACGUAGGGACCAAGCGUUGUUCGGAUUUACUGGGCGUAAAGGGCGCGUAGGCGGCGCGGUAAGUCACUUGUGAAAUCUCUGAGCUUAACUCAGAACGGCCAAGUGAUACUGCAGUGCUAGAGUGUGGAAGGGGCAAUCGGAAUUCUUGGUGUAGCGGUGAAAUGCGUAGAUAUCAAGAGGAAUACCUGAGGUGAAGACGGGUUGCUGGGCCAACACUGACGCUGAGGCGCGAAAGCCAGGGGAGCAAACGGG